CGGAGCGUAGCGCAGCUUGGUAGCGCACUUGUCUGGGGGACAAGGGGUCGUGGGUUCGAAUCCCGCCGCUCCGACCA
rnacentral:tRNA from 3 species